UCUGGAAGGACUGGGAAUCAAGGAGAUCAAUCCACCCCCAGCCAAGGUGGUGAACAAUAUUGAAGUAUGGAGAAUGUGCUUUUGCACGAAGGGCAUUGCACCAGCAGGCUGCAGGGUCAUCAUGACCACCUUGGCUGUAAUGGAAACACCUUCUCUUAGUGAUGCUGAAAGGGUCAGGUCUAGAGGUUGACAUCUGUCUACUUAUACCUGGUAAAGGACCAAGCACAUUACCAUUUUGCUCCUUGUUCUUACAUUUGGGGAAAAAUGCUUCACAUAUCAGGCUCCCCUAUGGAACUAGAAGAUGGAUGAAAGAAGAAGUGUUUUCAGAGGAGCCUUGA
rnacentral:lncRNA from 1 species